rnacentral:rRNA from 1 species
AUUGAACGCUGGCGGCAUGCUUUACACAUGCAAGUCGAACGGUAACAGGCCGCAAGGUGCUGACGAGUGGCGAACGGGUGAGUAAUGCAUCGGAACGUGCCCAGUCGUGGGGGAUAACUACUCGAAAGAGUAGCUAAUACCUCAUACGAUCUAUGGAUGAAAGCGGGGGACCGUAAGGCCUCGCGCGAUUGGAGCGGCCGAUGUCAGAUUAGGUAGUUGGUGGGGUAAAGGCUCACCAAGCCAACGAUCUGUAGCUGGUCUGAGAGGACGACCAGCCACACUGGAACUGAGACACGGCCCAGACUCCUGCGGGAGGCAGCAGUGGGGAAUUUUGGACAAUGGGCGCAAGCCUGAUCCAGCAAUGCCGCGUGCAGGAAGAAGGCCUUCGGGUUGUAAACUGCUUUUGUACGGAACGAAACGGCUCUGGUUAAUACCCGGGGCUAAUGACGGUACCGUAAGAAUAAGCACCGGCUAACUACGUG